rnacentral:rRNA from 1 species
UACGAGGGGGGCAAGCGUUGUUCGGAAUUAUUGGGCGUAAAGGGUGCGUAGGCGGUUUGACAAGUCUUAUGUGAAAUCCCUCGGCUUAACCGGGGAACUGCGUCUGAUACUGGAUGGCUUGAGUUCGGGAGAGGGAUGCGGAAUUCCAGGUGUAGCGGUGAAAUGCGUAGAUAUCUGGAGGAACACCGGUGGCGAAGGCGGCAUCCUGGACCGACACUGACGCUGAGGAGCGAAAGCCAGGGGAGCAAACGGG